rnacentral:rRNA from 1 species
GACGAACGCUGGCGGCGUGCUUAACACAUGCAAGUCGAACGGUAAGGCCCUUCGGGGUACACGAGUGGCGAACGGGUGAGUAACACGUGGGUGAUCUGCCCUUCACUUCGGGAUAAGCCUGGGAAACUGGGGCUAAUACCGGUUAGGACCACUGCCUGCAUGGGUGGUGGUGGAAAGCUUUUGCGGUGUGGGAUGGGCCCAAGGCCUAUCAGCUGGGUGGGGGGGUGAUGGCCGACCAAGGCGACGACGGGUAGCCGGCGUGAGAGGGUGACCGGCCACACUGGGACUGAGAUACGGCACAUACUCCUACGGGCGGCAGCAGUGGGGAAUAUUGCACAAUGGGCGCGAGCCUGAUGCAGCGACGCCGCGUGAGGGAUGACGGCCUUCGGGUUGUAAACCUCUUUCAGCACCGACGAAGCGCAAGUGACGGUAGGUGCAGAAGAAGGACCGGCCAACUACGUGCCAGCAGCCGCGGUAA